rnacentral:rRNA from 1 species
GACGAACGCUGGCGGCGUGCUUAACACAUGCAAGUCGAACGGAAAGGCCCUGCUUUUGUGGGGUGCUCGAGUGGCGAACGGGUGAGUAACACGUGAGUAACCUGCCCUUGACUUUGGGAUAACUUCAGGAAACUGGGGCUAAUACCGGAUAGGAGCUCCUGCUGCAUGGUGGGGGUUGGAAAGUUUCGGCGGUUGUGGAUGGACUCGCGGCUUAUCAGCUUGUUGGUGGGGUAGUGGCUUACCAAGGCUUUGACGGGUAGCCGGCCUGGGAGGGUGACCGGCCACCAUGGGACUGAGAUACGGCCCAGACUCCUACGGGAGGCAGCAGGCGGGAAUAUGGCACAGUGGGCGGAAGCCUGAUGCAGCAACGCCGCGUUCGGGAUGACGGCCUUCGGGUUGUAAACCGCUUUCGCCUGUGACGAAGCGUGAGUGACGGUAAUGGGUAAAGAAGCACCGGCUAACUACGUG